rnacentral:rRNA from 1 species
UACGUAGGGGGCUAGCGUUGUCCGGAAUCAUUGGGCGUAAAGCGCGUGUAGGCGGUCCGGUAAGUCAGCUGUGAAAGUCAAGGGCUCAACCCUUGAAUGCCGGUUGAUACUGUCGGGCUAGAGUCCGGAAGAGGCGAGUGGAAUUCCUGGUGUAGCGGUGAAAUGCGCAGAUAUCAGGAGGAACACCAAUGGCGAAGGCAGCUCGCUGGGACGGUACUGACGCUGAGACGCGAAAGCGUGGGGAGCAAACAGG